ACUAUCUCCUCAUAUUCCGGACCACUUCUAGCCAAUCGGAACCGCAUGUAACUGCUUGCGGUUACCGUAACAUUCUUCAAUUGGCGCGAUACAUUUUUUCGGUGCUCCCGAUACACGACCCAAUAGAUGCUUUUGAAGGGAAUAUUCGCACCUAAAUCUCAUCCGCGCCUAAUUGGCUCAACAAUUGCCCCCUCGGCAGCUUUCGAAGUAACACUUCGAUAGCUGGCGUGAUCUGAAACACUAUGGUUUCACCUCAGCCGUCCCCUUUUUUUGCUGCCGAAAUCCUGUGAUUGCUUCGAUAACAAGCACGAUCCGAGGUGUCGUUCUCGGUCCAAUCACAUUCAAAAUUUCUGUACUAGUACCAGACGUAAUUCGAGACGUGACCCUCUGUACGGUUUAAUCUUAGCCGUUUAUUUUCUUUCUUACGGCCCGAUUUCUAUCCUCAUUUUGUCUUAUCUGCGGCAUUAACUAGGUCAUCUUAAUUACCGCCGUCUAUUCAUCAUUAUAGCCGACCUCGAAACUCGCUUUGACACGACAGUUUUAUGCAACGGCCUUAUGAAUACGAUUGCCUUCGUACUUAUAAGUCGUUUUCGAUGAUAGAGCUUCCGAAUCGACGAUCCAUACCGUUAAACAUUUUCUAGAGUAUUUAAAACUUCUAGAAAUUAAAUUUUAUAUUUUUAGACAUCAUUUACCUUACGAUCAAAAGCUCACAAAUUGAUAAUUUUUAACGGCCGGUAUGAAAUACUUGCUAGUUUAACGGUGCAAAAGAAUCCAAAUAGGUUGAAUUUUUGAUAAAAAUUCUAUUCACUACUUAUAUAAAGAUCAAUAACUCUGAUCUUAAAUUGAAGGAUCCGAUCAUCCAUUUUUAAGACGUCGUUCGAUUUUAACCGUUCAUUUUAUGCCCGCUUGAUGGAUCGUCGAUUCGGAAGCUCCGUCAUCGAAAACAACUUAUGAGUACGAAGGGCCUAAUACUCAUAAGAGUAUAGUAGCCCUACUAUAUAUAUAUAUAUAUAUAUAUAGAGAGAGAGAGAGAGAGAGAGUUGAGCUAGAAUACUAUCGAUAGCAAACCGGCACUUUUGCCACCCAUUUGUUUUCGAUGAUGGAGCCUCCAAAUCGACGACCGGUCCCGUUGAACAUGAUCUAUACCACUUGAAUUGUUUAGAAAUCAAAUUUCUAAUCUUUUCGACAUCAUUUGCCUAAUGAUCAAAGGAUUUCAAAAUUUGUAAUUUUAAAGGUCGAUAUGAGGCGCUUUCUCGUUUAACGGCGUAAAGAUAUCCAAAUCAAUUGAUUUUUUGUUAGAAAAUUCUUUAAACUAUUUAAAACAAGAUCUAUACUCUUGAUCUUGAUUACAAGGCUCCUAUCAUCAUUUUUUUAAGAAUAUUCAUUUUUAGCAGUUCAUUUUUGUGUCCACUCGAUGGAUAAGAGAACAAUAUCGAAAAUGUAUGAAAUUUGAUUUCUAAAUACUUCAAAUGGUAUAGAUCAUGUUCAACGGUGCCGAUCAUCAAUUUGGAGCGCUCCGUGCUUCCACUUUGUUUUCGAUGUUCGGACUUUUGAAUCGCCGAUCGGCUCCGUUAGACUUGAUCUAAAGUAUUUAAAGUAUCUAGAAAAUAAUUUUUGCGAUUUUUCAAUAUCAUUUGCCUAGUGAUCGAAGUAGCUCAAAAUCAACGGCUG
rnacentral:lncRNA from 1 species